rnacentral:rRNA from 1 species
UGUGUUUGAAAAUAACUCCUAACGCUAGGCACAACCCUUUGUACCGACCAUUGUAGCACGUGUGUAGCCCU